rnacentral:rRNA from 1 species
AUUGAACGCUGGCGGCAGGCUUAACACAUGCAAGUCGAACGAGUGGCGGACGGGUGAGUAAUGCUUGGGAAUCUAGCUUAUGGAGGGGGAUAACUACGGGAAAAUGUAGCUAAUACCGCGUACCAUAGGAUGAGCCCACGUGGGAUUAGGUAGUUGGUGAGGGAAAGGCUCACCAAGCCGACGAUCUCUAGCCGGUCUGCGAGGAUGACCAGCAACACUGUGACGGAGACACGGACCGGACGCCUACGGGAGGCAGCAGUGGGGAAUAGUGGGCAAUGGGGGCAACCUGACGCAGCCAUGGCGCGUGAAUGAAGAAGGCCUUCGGGUUGUAAAGUUCUUUCGUUAGCGAGGCGUUAACUACAGAAGAAGCACCGGCUAACGCCGUGCCAGCAGCCGCGGUAAUAC